CCUGCGCCAGGCCUCCUCGCCCCAGUGCCCUCGUCGCUGCUAGGGAACUGGUCACCUGGGCGUCUGGCCCUCCUCCGCUGGCAGCCUCAACCACACCUACACAGGUAGUACAUGGGAAGCAAAGGUUUUCCCCCUGCUUCUCAUUGCAACAUUGUAAUAAAAUCCUUGCUUGCUUCCGCUAUGAGUUAUUUUACAUUUCAGUCUGAUGUCAACACAGUAGCAUUUGCUGAUUGAAGUGUUGAUCUCAUUUAUUCUGGAAGCGAUGAUAAUAUGUGCAAAGUAGCUUGCAAUUACAAACUAUUAUGUUCGACCAUAUAUGACUGAAUUUCUUUCAGAUUAAUUCACCAUUUAUAAUAGUGUCCGAUAUGGAUGAGUAUGCUAUGGUAAAUCUCCUCUGUAGUGUACAUGGUCUAUUUCAAUAUUCCAGUUUAGUGUACCCAUGCACAGGAAUUCCCUAGUAUUGCCAAACCUAGUUUUUAUGCGUAUGAUACUGACUAUCAUUUUUUGAUUCCCCUUUUCAUGCAUGAGGGCCGGACUAAUUUAUUUUGAAAGGAACAAGCUAUAUAGGGGCUGAAGCAUCUGGGCGAUGAGGCAGUGCACUUAUGACACCUAUGGGGAGUUCACUAGCGCUCAUCGCUAGAGUUCGCCGAGAGCCGUGGCGGGAGUCCACCUUGAAGCGCAGCACCCGCAGGUCGUGGGUACUAUUCUGAUUCUCGAGAUUAAAAGAUGCUUAUGUGGGAUAUUUGGAUGGAUAAGCAACAGAGCAACCGAGCAACAGCGAGCAGCCUUGCUUCACCGCUUGAUGGUUUACUAACGAAUGCUGCAGGAGUUAACAAGCACGACCGCAGGCCCACUAGCAGUGUCGUCGCGCACGGAACUGCGUCGCGCUUGGCUCCUGAACCUCUCUCUAAAAAAUUGGUUGUUCUCUUUAUCUUAGUCUCUCUAAGAUCCUCGCCCCUUUCUGUUACUUUUGAAGUGAGUUUUUCUAGAACAUGUUCCUAAUGUGUGUUCUCUUGUUUACUACAGAGAGAGAGAGAGAGAUAGAGA